AGAGCGUAGAGUGAAUGCCUUGGCAUUGGGAGCCGACGAAGGACGUGGUUAACUGCGAAAAGCUACGGGGAGUCGUAAGCAGACAUUGAUCCGUAGAUGUCCGAAUGGAGCAAUCCGCAUGGAGUUAGUCUAUGCAUCCAUAAGUGAAUUCAUAGCUUAUGGAGGGGAACCGCCUGAACUGAAACAUCUAAGUAGGGCGAGGAAGAGAAAUCAAACGAGAUUUCGUAAGUAGUGGCGAGCGAACGCGAAAGAGGCUAAACCAAGAGAAGAAAUUCUUUUGGGGUUACGGACUGCGAUAUGUAUCUGAGGACUUAGCAGAAUGGUAUGGGAAAGCCAACCAGAGAAUGUGAUAGUCAUGUAUGCGAAAAGGAAUCAGAGCUAGCAGGAUCCAAAGUACCGCGGGACACGAGGAAUCCCGUGGGAAGUCGGGGGGACCACCCUCCAAGCCUAAAUACUACCUGAUGACCGAUAGAGGAGCAGUACCGUGAGGGAAAGGUGAAAAGGACCCCGGGAGGGGAGUGAAAGAGAACCUGAAACCUUGUGCUUACAAGCAGUCAAAGCACGUUAAAGUGUGAUGACGUACUUUUUGUAGAACGGUCCGGCGAGUUAUAGUAACGAGCAAGCUUAAGGUAUUGAGUACCGGAGGCGAAGCGAGAGCGAGUCUGAAUAGGGCGUAAAGUUCGUUGCCAUAGACCCGAAACCGGGUGACCUAUCCAUGAGCAGGCUGAAGUGAGAGUAAAAUCUCAUGGAGGGCCGAACCGACCCCCGUUGCAAUGGUGGCGGAUGACUUGUGGAUAGCGGAGAAAUUCCAAUCGAACUCGGAGAUAGCUGGUUCUCCCCGAAAUAGCUUUAGGGCUAGCGUUAUGUUAGAUUACCGGAGGUAAAGCACUGAAUGGUGGCGGGGCCGAUAAGGUUACCAAGACCUAUCAAACUCUGAAUGCCGGAUAAUUGAUGCAUAGCAGUCAGACAGCGUGAGAUAAGUUUCGUUGUCAAAAGGGAAACAGCCCAGACCCACAGCUAAGGUCCCAAAUUCAUGCUAAGUGGAAAACGAUGUGGAAUUGCGAAAACAACCAGGAUGUUGGCUUAGAAGCAGCCACUCAUUAAAAGAGUGCGUAAUAGCUCACUGGUCGAGUGACUCUGCGCCGAAAAUUUAACGGGGCUAAACUAUACACCGAAGCUUGGGAUACAUCUAAUGUAUGGUAGGAGAGCGUUCUGUAUGGGGAGAAGUCGUAGCGAAAGCGGCGGUGGACUAUACAGAAGUGAGAAUGCCGGAAUAAGUAGCGAGAAUUAAGUGAGAAUCUUAAUGGCCGAAAGUCUAAGGUUUUUGGAGGAAGGUUCGUCCGCUCCAAGUAAGUCGGGAGCUAAGGUCAGGCCGAAAGGCGUAGCCGAUGCACAUACGGUUGAUAUUCCGUAACCAUCUGUAAUUUAAGCAAAGGGACACUUCAAAAGGGUGUGACCCGGGCGUUGGUUGACCCGGGCGUAAGGGACCGAAAUUAGAGUAGGGAAGCACACUUAGCUGAAGGCGAGAAAAGCUUUGCGUAUAGAAACAGAUGCCCGUACCGCAAACCGACACAGGUGGACAGGAAGAGAAUUCUAAGGCCAGCGGGAGAAGGGUAGUUAAGGAACUCGGCAAAUUGACUCCGUAACUUCGGAAUAAGGAGUGCUCGAAAGAGCCGCAGAGAAUAGGCCCAGGCGACUGUUUAGCAAAAACACAGGUCUCUGCCAAAUCGAAAGAUGAAGUAUAGGGGCUGACACCUGCCCGGUGCCGGAAGGUUAAGAGGAGGAGUGAGAGCUCCGAAUUGAAGCCCCGGUAAACGGCGGCCGUAACUAUAACGGUCCUAAGGUAGCGAAAUUCCUUGUCGGGUAAGUUCCGACCCGCACGAAUGGUGUAACGAUCUGGGCACUGUCUCAACUACCCACCCGGCGAAAUUGUAGUACCGGUGAAGAUGCCGGUUACCUGCGGCAAGACGGAAAGACCCCAUGGAGCUUUACUGUAGCCUGAUAUUGGGUUUCGGAAAUCUAUGUACAGGAUAGGCGGGAGACUGGGAAACAUGAGCGUCAGCUUGUGUGGAGUCGAUGUUGGGAUACCGCCCUUAGGUUUCUGGAAUUCUAACCUGCGGCCGUGAAUCCGGUCGGGGGACAUUGUCAGGUGGGCAGUUUGACUGGGGCGGUCGCCUCCGAAAAGGUAACGGAGGCGCUCAAAGGUUAGCUCAGCACGGACGGAAACCGUGCCUCUGAGUGUAAACGCAAAAGCUAGCCUAACUGCGAGGGUGACGGCCCGAGCAGUAACGAAAGUUGGAGUUAGUGAUCCGGCGGUAUGUGAAUGGAAAUGCCGUCGCUCAACGGAUAAAAGCUACCCUGGGGAUAACAGGCUGAUCUCCCCCAAGAGUCCACAUCGACGGGGAGGUUUGGCACCUCGAUGUCGGCUCAUCGCAUCCUGGGGCUGUAUUCGGUCCCAAGGGUUUGGCUGUUCGCCAAUUAAAGCGGUACGCGAGCUGGGUUCAGAACGUCGUGAGACAGUUCGGUCCCUAUCUGUCGUGGGCGUAGGAUAUUUGAGGAGCGCUGUUCCUAGUACGAGAGGACCGGAAUGGACGCACCGCUGGUGUAUCGGUUGUCAUGCCAAUGGCACGGCCGAGCAGCUAUGUGCGGAUCGGAUAAACGCUGAAAGCAUCUAAGCGUGAAGCCGUCUCCAAGAUAAGAUAUCCCACUGUUUACAGUUAAGACCCCUUGUAGACUACGAGGUUGAUAGGUUCAAGGUGUAAGCACGGUAACGUGUUCAGCCAGCGAAUACUAAUCGGUCGAGGGCUUAAACC
rnacentral:rRNA from 1 species